GAACGGGUGAGUAACACGUGAACAACCUGACCCUGAAUGGGGGACUAACACUUGGAAACAAGUGCUAAUACCGCAUAAGACCACGACCCGGCAUCGGGAAUGAGGUCAAAGAUUUAUCGCUUUAGGAGGGGUCGCGUCCCAUUAGGUAGAUGGCGGGUAACGGCCCACCAGUGCCAACGAUGGGGUAGCCGAGCUGAGAGGCUGAUCGGCCACACUGGAACUGAGACACGGUCCAGACUCCUACGGGAGGCAGCAGUGGGGAAUAUUGGGCAAUGGGCGCAAGCCUGACCCAGCAACGCCGCGUGAGGGAAGAAGGUUUUCGGAUUGUAAACCUCUGUCGCAAGGGACGAAGAAGUGACGGUACCUUGUGAGGAAGCCCCGGCUAACUACGUGCCAGCCGCCGC
rnacentral:rRNA from 1 species